UGAGAAACAUCAGGCAAACACAACUUGGGAUCCAUCAUUCAAAAUAAACAGUCAUAUCAAUGACAUGAAAGACAAGGGCUGAGAACCAAUUCUCACUAAAGGAGAUGAAUAGACCUGAUAACUCCACGCAAUGUGUAAUCCUGGAUUGGCUCCUGUACCAGCAAAUUCAUAUCACAACAGAGGAUAUUAAUCAGACAAUUGGAGGGAUUGGAAUAAGGUGGAAGCCAUUAUCUACUGCUGGACCGGGUAUCUCAGAUUCUUCAAGAUCAUGGUCAUAAUGUCAGUAUGCUUCUUUAUGGAGAAAAAUUUUUAAUCCCAG